CAGCCCACCCCAAUAUGCAAGCACAUCAGUAUGAUGCAACCACACCGUCAUCUCCUGACAACCUCCUUGUUCUCAAGUUAUUUAUCCAGGAAGCUUGUGCUAUGGCUUUUUGUCAUCAUGAUAAUAUGUCACCCUUAUACCACAGGACCAACUUCUGCUCUAGAAAUAACCUCACACAUUAAGUACUAUUAUAUAGGUAGAGAUUCAAAUGUGAUCCUUAAUUGCGAGUUUGUCCUUGCCUCUGAGAAUUGGGAACGCAUUGAGAUAGAGUGGAACUUUCUGUCUCCACAAAGAGAGCAAGAUGACAAGAUCAUUAUCUGGUACACUGGAACCAUGACAUAUAAUAAUUUAUAUGAUCCUUUAAAGGGUAGGGUCUACUUCACAUCUCCUCAUCCUCAAAAUGGCAUUGCUUCAAUAGCAAUCACCGAUGUGAAGCUUACAGAUACAGGCACUUACCAAUGCAAGGUGAAACAUUCAACCCUGAACGGAAAACCUGAAAUCCAGUUCAAACACAUUAUCUUGUCAGUAAUGGAGAAGCCAAGUAAGCCAAUGUGUUACAUUGCAGGUGAAGCUGUGGUAGGAAAAGAUUUGAGGCUGAGAUGCAGAUCCUCAGAAGGUAGUCCCCCUCUAAAGUACAGAUGGUCAAAGACAAGCGGAAACCAAGUGUUGCCUCAGAAUGCUGUUAUUGACACUAUACAAGGCGAUUUGUAUUUGGAUGAAAUCACAGAGAGAGACUCUGGAACCUACCUCUGCAAAGUUGAAAACCUUGUUGGUACAGACAACUGCAAGUUUACACUCAGUGUCACAUCACAGCUGACUGUAAAUUAUGAACAUGGAACUAUAGCAGCAGAUGUUGUCAGUGUGGUUGUGGGCAUCAUCAUUGCCAUUGCAGUCAUUUACUACUGCCACUGAAAAAAGAAGGAGGAGCAAUUUGGCAAUGAAAUAUUGGAGGAUACUUUCCCUCCUCAUAAAUUCCGUUGCACAAGUGACAAAGUACGGGCCUGGACUUAUGAAAGCUCCCAGCACAGUGUACAGGAGCCGUGUUCCUUGGAGGAAGAAAAGUCAGAGGGGAAUGGGUGCAUUGAGCCUUGUGUGACAACCCAUCAUGAAAAAAAGGAGUUGUACUCUCCUUUAAAAAGGAAGCCGAUUGAAUCCAGGAAGCAUGGUGCCUGUGAUGAAAAGAAGAAACCCAGGGAGGAGAACGUGUCAGAGAUUGAUGUCUGCAAAGCUGAUGGGGUGGGC